rnacentral:rRNA from 1 species
UGGGGAAUCAUGGUCAAUGGGCGAAAGCCUGAACCUGCGACGCCGCGUGAGUGAUGAAGGCCCUAGGGUUGUAAAGCUCUUUUGGCGGGGAAGAUAAUGACGGUACCCGCAGAAUAAGCCCCGGCUAACUUCGUGCCAGCAGCCGCGGUAAUACGAAGGGGGCUAGCGUUGCUCGGAAUCACUGGGCGUAAAGCGCACGUAGGCGGAUUCUUAAGUCAGAGGUGAAAGCCUGGAGCUCAACUCCAGAACUGCCUUUGAUACUGGGAGUCUCGAGUUCGGGAGAGGUGAGUGGAACUGCGAGUGUAGAGGUGAAAUUCGUAGAUAUUCGCAAGAACACCAGUGGCGAAGGCGGCUCACUGGCCCGAUACUGACGCUGAGGUGCGAAAGCGUGGGGAUCGAACA